rnacentral:lncRNA from 12 species
GGGGGGGGGGGGGGGGGGGCCGAUCUUCAAGCACAGAGCGGAACCUGAAAGAUCUGAAAGAGACUCUUCUUCAUGAAACUAAAAAGAAAUGUGAGAAUCUUAUUGAGCUACAGAAGGAGCAGAGGAAACUGGAUGCAAGGAAGGUGGAAUACGAAGCCGAACUCCUGAGAAGGAGUAGGGAGCUGGCUGUGAGUCUGAAAGGGAAGAGCCUCAGUGACAGAGAAUUGAAGGGCAACUUUACUCUUGUGUGGACAAAGAAGCUGGAAUACGAAGAUGAGCUUCUGAGAAGGAGUAGGGAGCUGGCGGUAACUCUGAAAGGGAAAAGCCCCAGUGAGAAAGAACUGAAGGAUCACUUCUCUCUUGUGUGGAACAGUUGGAUUGCUGAGGUCUCCCGUGCUGCUCGUCCGCUGGAACGGGUGGAUAUUGAUGCAGAAAUUGAGGAUGUCCUUCUAGAGCACUUUAAGGAGCCAGGUUUCCAUGCACGGAUCAGGUCAUUUCCCAAAAGCAGAAGAUUUUCUUUUGACAUGGAGGAACACAUCGCAGUGAAAAAGUAAACACAUCACAAAGAAAAAGUAUUUAGGCAUUUUCUCAGAUCCCAGGAGCAUUUCCAAUGCUGAUGUGAUCAACUUUCAGCAGAUCACAAACGACAUCAUAGCGUGUGUGAAGGCGAACAUUGAGAAGAAGGAACAGGAGAAACGGGAUUACAGUCGAAAUUUUAUUCAUGAAAUACUCAAUGAAGUGCAGAAAGGUGUUGACUAUGUCCCCAGCAAUGCAAAAUGUACUUUCAACAAAGAGUACAGCAUAGAUUUGUCUCUAUAUCUGUGCAGAAUGGCAGCGGAGAGGUUUAAAGCCAUGCACGAAGCAUUCCAAAAGGCAAAUGACCCAGUUCUGUACCUGAGCAGCAAGAGAGAAGACUUCUUCCAAUGUUUCCAGAUUUCCUGCCAAGGAGCCACUUCAAUCACUACCUUUGUUAUUUUCCUUUGUGACAAGAUUGAACCAGCUCUUCGCAAGGCAGUCUUUGAGAGGACGGCUAAAGACAUUGCUGAGGACAUGAAGAGCAAAUUCCCAGACUUCAGGGGCAACAGAGCCAAUCUGGAAGUUUGCAUCCUGAGAUACCUGGCAGAACAAGAAAAUUUUGCGUAUUUCAAGCAGUACCUUACAUCUCCUAAGCAGUUUUUUCAGAGUUACAUUGAGAAACAAGUUAAGAGUCAUUGUUUAGAUGAGAGUAGGAGGCUGAGAAUGUUUUUACAUUCCUGCCUUGAAUCUUUCUAUGGAAACAUCCUGUCAGCUGUUUCUUUAUCAACCCAAAUUGUCAAAGACAGAAAAGACAGAGAAGACAAAAUCUCUCUUUGGCUGGAUGAAUUCUGCGGGGAACUGGCAGAAGUGAUCAACUUGCCCAGAAGUGACCUGAAGGGCAUCGAGCAUCAGGAGGUCACAGACAUUGAGUUCCUGAGCAGUGCCAUGGCAAAAGCUCUUAUUGACCUGACGGACAGGCUCAUGAAAGAAUUGGCUGAUGCUGACAUGAGCUCAUUUUCAAGGCAGCCUCACACCAUUGCUGACAUGAGCUCGUUUGCAAGGCAGCCUCACACCAUCCUGGCGGAGCAUUUUUCGGGGUGCUGGGAGAAGUGUCCCUUUUGUGGGGCUGUAUGCUCAAACACCAUGCAGAACCAUGAUGGAGACCAUCAGCUGGUCUUCCAUCGCCCUGAAGCUCUGACGGGAGCCAUAUGGGAGUGGACAAACCAUCUGGUUAUUGAUAUUUGUUCCAGCCUUGUUGCAAGUGACUGCAGUUUCAAAUUUCCUGGUCUCCCAUGGAUCCCUUUCAAAACAUACCGUGAUGCUGGACCUCCUUUUUCCACUUGGAGAAUUCUUCCUGAUUCAUCCAUGCAGGCGUACUGGAAAUGGUUUGUGUCUCGUUUCAGGACACAGCUGGAAGCUUUGUACAAUGGAAAAUUUCAGGGCAAAGGAGAAAUCCCUGACUCGUGGCAGAGAAUUACCAAGCAGGAAGCACUGUCCGAGCUGGAGCGGCGUUAGGCCACAUCCAUGGGAAGGAAGAACCACAGUGGCUUUGCAAUUUAGGGGAGCUUUGUAUCAGGCUUCUCACAAAAUGCAGUUACAAUGACAAUGUUCUCGAACCCAGGGAAGACAAUGUUAUCCAACUGUUCCCAAAUUUGGUGAAAUAAGGUGCAUUACUGCUGCCAUUGCUCUGCAAUUCCUUCACUUCAUGAGAAAGCCAGAAUCCUCCUGCCUUCUUGCUCUAAACAUUUCCCUGUGCUUUGUCCUAGUACCAAACCAAAUCCCUCCUUGGGGUGAUGGGGCUCGUGGCCAAGCCUGAGCCCAAGGGCCAGGGCAAGAGCAAAGGCAGCACUCAAAGCACCCCUUGACUCAGUUUAUGUGAGACAAGAAGGGACUCUUGGAGUGUGAAAACUAAGGCCUCUCUGAAUUCCUGAGAGAGAACUGUAUGUACGGUUUGAAUUAAAAUUUUUAGAGAAAUUAAAAUAUAUUAAACCACUCAGACAUGAAGUAGAGGUGUAAGCUUCAGUUUUAAGUGGAAAUAUUAUUAAGUUGCAUAUAUAUGAAGUAAAAGUAUCAAUCUUAGUUUUAAGUAAGUAAAAGUAUGCUUUAAGUGUGUUAAAGAGCAAAAGCUUUAGAAUCUAGUGUAAAAAACAAGCUUCAUAAGAAGUUUCAGUGAGAGCUCAAAACCAUAGCUUUAGACAAAAUAAAAGCAUAUAAAGAAUAUUGCUUACAUUUUUCAGAUACAACAGAUUGGCUACAUGCACACAUUAUACGUAAACUUUCGUAUUAUAGAAACAGAAUUCUAAUAGGUUUAGAAGAAAUGCUUCAGAAAUGGUUCGUGUUUUAGCUCAUUAGAUAAUUUGUAAAUAAAAAUGUGUGCAUUGGGGUGAGGCUCGCUCUCUUGCUCUCUUCCUCCACCACCACCAUCAUCAUCAUCAUCAGUACUGCCUGAAAGAAUAAGAGGAAGAACAGAAGAAUAAUGAUCAGUUAGCGUCUGCAUCUACUCAGGACUCUCUAUUAGACUGCAGCUUCUGCCUCUGCUUCAGACUCUGCACCAGGCCACAGCUUCUACCUCCACCCAGCAUUCUGUACCAGAGAACUGCUGCUCCUGCCUCUGCGCAGGACUUUGCACCAGAGAGAUGCUUCGCUUUAAUUGGGACUCUAUGGUGAAAGCUUUAACACAGACUUUAUAGCUCUAGACUCUUGUGUUUGAGACUGAUGUGCUCCUGUAAUGAACAACUUUACAGAAACCCAGGCCAUAUAUUCUUUUGCUUUAUUAUUUGUCUCUUAAUGUCUUUUAUUAAACCUUUUAAAAUGUACCAGGAAAGUGAACCUCGUUUCUUACAAGCUCUGUGCUGCAGACAGGCAGGGGACAGGGGGGUGGCACUGGAGCAGGGGGUGUGGCAGCAGAGGCUCUGCUCCAUUCAGGGUCUCUGCUCCAGGAGCCACUUCACCGUGUGCAGGGACAGCAGAGAGGGCAGGAAGCCCCAAACCACAACAUCCAGGGAACCCAGUGACAAUGGCAGGGGCCAAGGCAGACAGCACUGGGAACCAAGCCUGGCCUGUCACACACUAGAAGGGCUGAGCAGGUGGAUCCCAUUGAGCUUCUGUGCUCUGGAGCUGCUCAGCUGGAAACCUGCAGGACAAAAGGGGAAUGAGCUCAAACUCUGCUAAGCCCAGCCCUGGCCAACCAGACCCAGAGCCCAUGACAAGAGCCAGACAUGACAAGAACCAGAUCUGGGCUGUGUGAGCGUGUGCUGCAAGGGCUGAGUGCCAGGGACUGGGGACACCUGGGCUGGGAGGGGAAUUUGGGCCAGCUCCCUCAGCCAGACUGGGAGUGGAGGUGCCCCUGACCAUGCUGUCACCUCCUGGCUGAGUGGGGAAUGUCCCAGUGCAGCUACUGGAGUGAGUGGGGGGACCCAGAGCCACAAGUGGAUGCAGAGGAGAGGACCCAGUGCAGCAAGGGGGGGUGACCUGAGGCCUGGGCUGGGGUAUCAGGAGGCUGCAGGGUCCCUCACCUGCUCCCCUCACCUGUGCCAGCUGUCCCAGCUCCCUCUCCAGUUCAGCCAGGCUGUUCUCUGCACCUUUCCCGUCUCUGCCAGGACUCCUUGGCCAAAGUCUCCCUCAGUGGGAUGGUCUGGCAGCUCCUUCCUUGCAGGCCCUGCUGUGGGGAG